rnacentral:lncRNA from 1 species
GAUGUCUCUUUUGGGGUCUGCCACCUGGCCCCACUGCACUCACCUCUCAGGAUUUCCUCACAAUGAUGGCAGCUCGGACCACGUGACACCUGUAGUUCUGCAGCCCUCUUUUCACUUAGCAUUGUAUUGUGCGCGUUACCCAGGCAUCACUGGAAGGUUUUCCCAGACAUGCUGGGGGCGGGGCUGUGUAACAUUCAUCUUGCAUUUUCUUUUUUGUUUUGUAUUUUUUUUAAUUUUUAUUUUUUUCGGAUGUGCAUCAUAUUUGGAAUUCUGUGUACAUUACAUCAUGUUCACCACCCGAACACUAAUUAUAGUGCAUCCCCUUACAUGUGACCCAAAUCACCCCUUUUGCCCUCCCCCUCCCCCCUUCCCCAAUGGUAACCACCAGUCCAAUCUCCAGUGCUAUAUGUUUUGGGGGUUUUUUUGUCGUUUUUAUCUUCUCCUUAUGAGUGAGAUCAUAUGGUAUUUGACUUUCUCCCUCUGACUUAUUUCACUCAGCAUAAUACCCUCAAGGUCCAUCCAUGUUGUCACAAAUAGGGCUGUGUGACAUUCAUCUUGAGGAUGUGUCACUGUUAUUUAACCAGGCCCUCACUGUGGACAUUAGGCUGCUUCCUCUUUUCCCCGUGGUCCGGACCAGAAGGCUGGGCAGCGCACCUGUGCGCUCCAGGUGGGCAGGGCCAGCUGGAAUCGCUGCGGCUCCUGGAGCGAGGCUCACACGCCCACGCUUGCUGACUGAUGAGAGAGCCUCUGUCUGUUUGGACCCCGUCCGUCUAGAAUAUGGGAGCCUGGCAAAUGAAGUCUUGCCUGUGAAGCCCUUGGCCUGGGCCUGGAGCACAGCAGACACUCUGCAAGGGACAGCUGUCACCAUGAACCUUGCGUCUGCACUGACCCCCUCCAGCCAGCCAGGGGCUGACUCCUCCUGCCUGGCUGAGAGCUCUGCACAGAGGCAGGGGCCUCUCCGGGCACAGCUUCUCCACUGGCUGCAGGACCAGAGGGGGCCCAGGGGCCUCUGGGGUCACUAG